rnacentral:rRNA from 1 species
UACGGAGGGUGCAAGCGUUAUCCGGAUUCACUGGGUUUAAAGGGUGCGUAGGAGGGCAGGUAAGUCAGUGGUGAAAUCUCCGAGCUUAACUCGGAACUGCCGUUGAUACUAUCUGUCUUGAAUACCGUGGAGGUGAGCGGAAUAUGUCAUGUAGCGGUGAAAUGCUUAGAUAUGACAUAGAACACCAAUUGCGAAGGCAGCUCACUAACACGAGCAUUGACUCUGAGGCACGAAAGCGUGGGGAUCAAACAGG